ACCUCAAAAACGGAGGACCCAGAGUUCACUUUCCCCAAAUUCAGAGCUCCCUAAGGGACCCUGACCUACCCCUACCCACAGCCCUCCAGGGCUCCCACCAACCUACCUGUAAAAGCUCAAAGUCCCCUCCCUGCCCUUCCCUCCUCCCUCUCUCCUGCUGGCUCACUCUGCUCCAACUCCAUUCUCCCAGUGCUGCAAACUUAUUCUGACCUCAGGACCUUUGCACAUGCUGUGUCCACUUCCUGGAAUGCCUUUCUCUUGGCUUUAGAACAACAGCUUUUUCAUCUGCCAUGCAGGGCUCAUCCCAGAUGUCACCUCCUGUCAGCUUUGGUCACCGGCAGUCAGUUGUCACCCUUCAACACACAUCCCUCUUUACUUCCUCCUUAGCAACUUGCUCCUACCCAAGUCUUACCUGUUUGCUCAUUUGGUGUCAAUCCCUCUUCUCUCCCACAGUGAUUUGUGUCCUCCCAAACCAGGCACAAUGCCUGGCACACCCCAGAGGCUGGAAAGACAGUUGUUAACUGUCUGGCUACCUGACCAUUUAUUAACACCGAUGAUGUGCAAGACGCUAUUGACAGGGAUUGCAUUAACCCUGUCAUUAUUUGCAUUCUACAAAUUAAUGAACUUACAUGUCAGUGAUGAUCACCAUGACCCCAGAUCAACAGGACUAUUGCCAGGCCAAUGUCUUCCAAACUUAGCAGCCCCUCCCUCUGGCCCUGGUCACCUUCAAUCCAAGGAGAACAAGGAACCCUGGAUGGCUUUCACCUUGAGUCUACAUCUCCACGAUCACAUCUCUUUCCCUGCUUCCCUUAUUUAUCUUCCAAGGUCUGAGAUCUUCCUCUGCUCUAAAUUCUUCCACGGCUCCCCAGUGUCUCAGUAAAGAUCCAAGCUCAGUGCAGCAUAAGAGGCCCUUCAGGGCUGAGUCCCUGACUUCAAGGCUGACUCCCUGGCCUCAACUACCAUGUGAAAGUGAAGUUGCUCAGUCGUGUCCAACUCUUUGCGACCCCGUGGACUGUAGCCCACCAGGCUCCUCCGUCCAUGGGAUUCUCCAGGCAAGAAUACUGGAGUGGGUUGCCAUUUCCUUCUCCAGGGGAUCUUCCCUGACCCAGGGAUCGAACCCAGGGAUUGAACUCAGGUCUCCUGCAUUGCAGGCAGAUGCUUUAACCUCUGAGCCACCAGGGAAGCCCUUCAGCUACCAUGCCUCACCUAAUUCCUCCUUGACUCCAGCUGUGCUCCUUCACACCUCCAGGCCUUUGCAAACCCAGUUCCCUCUGCCCACAUCCACGAGGACAGAGACAUUCACCUGGCUGGCUCACUGCUGUGUUUCACAUCCACCAUAGGGCUCAG
rnacentral:lncRNA from 1 species